rnacentral:rRNA from 1 species
UACGGAGGAUGCGAGCGUUAUCCGGAUUUAUUGGGUUUAAAGGGUGCGCAGGCGGCGUGUCAAGCAAGCGGUAAAAUAGCGGGGCUCAACCCCGCCGAGCCGUCGGAACUGGGGGCCUUGAGUGCGGCGGAGGCAUGCGGAAUGCGCGGUGUAGCGGUGAAAUGCAUAGAUAUCGCGCAGAACCCCGAUUGCGAAGGCAGCGUGCCGUGCCGCCACUGACGCUGAGGCACGAAAGCGCGGGGAUCGAACAGG